UUGCCCCAGUAACGGCGAGUGAAGCGGCAAUAGCUCAAAUUUGAAAUCUGGCUCCUUUGGGGCCCGAGUUGUAAUUUGGAGAGGGUGCUUUGGUGUUGGCAGCAGCCUAAGUUCCUUGGAACAGGUCAUCAUAGAGGGUGAGAAUCCCGUAUGUGGCUGAUUGUCUUCACCGUGUAAAGCCCCUUCGACGAGUCGAGUUGUUUGGGAAUGCAGCUCUAAAUGGGAGGUAAAUUUCUUCUAAAGCUAAAUACUGGCCAGAGACCGAUAGCGCACAAGUAGAGUGAUCGAAAGAUGAAAAGCACUUUGGAAAGAGAGUCAAAAAGCACGUGAAAUUGUUGAAAGGGAAGCGCUUGCAGCCAGACGUGCCUGUAGUUGCUCAUCUGGGGAUUUCCCCAGUGCACUCUUCUAUGGGCAGGCCAGCAUCAGUCCGGGCGGUUGGAGAAAGGCCUGUGUCACGUAGCUGCUUUCGGGCAGUGUUAUAGGGCAGGUGGAAUACGACCAGCCUGGACUGAGGUCCGCGCAUCUGCUAGGAUGCUGGCGUAAUGGCUGUAAGCGGCCCGUCUUGAAACACGGACCAAGGAGUCUAACAUCUAUGCGAGUGUUUGGGUGUCAAGCCCGAGCGCGCAAUGAAAGUGAACGGAGGUGGGAACCCUCGGGUGCACCAUCGACCGAUCCUGAUGUCUUCGGAUGGAUUUGAGUAAGAGCAUAGCUGUUGGGACCCGAAAGAUGGUGAACUAUGCCUGAAUAGGGUGAAGCCAGAGGAAACUCUGGUGGAGGCUCGCAGCGGUUCUGACGUGCAAAUCGAUCGUCAAAUUUGGGCAUAGGGGCGAAAGACUAAU
rnacentral:rRNA from 1 species